AUUGAACGCUGGCGGCAGGCCUAACACAUGCAAGUCGAGCGGAUAAAGGGAGCUUGCUCCUGGAUUCAGCGGCGGACGGGUGAGUAAUGCCUAGGAAUCUGCCUGGUAGUGGGGGAUAACGUCCGGAAACGGGCGCUAAUACCGCAUACGUCCUGAGGGAGAAAGUGGGGGAUCUUCGGACCUCACGCUAUCAGAUGAGCCUAGGUCGGAUUAGCUAGUUGGUGGGGUAAAGGCCUACCAAGGCGACGAUCCGUAACUGGUCUGAGAGGAUGAUCAGUCACACUGGAACUGAGACACGGUCCAGACUCCUACGGGAGGCAGCAGUGGGGAAUAUUGGACAAUGGGCGAAAGCCUGAUCCAGCCAUGCCGCGUGUGUGAAGAAGGUCUUCGGAUUGUAAAGCACUUUAAGUUGGGAGGAAGGGCAGUAAGUUAAUACCUUGCUGUUUUGACGUUACCAACAGAAUAAGCACCGGCUAACUUCGUA
rnacentral:rRNA from 1 species